AAAAUGGGAGGUGACAGUUCAUUUUGCCAGUGACAGUCUGUCGGUCUCGCUGGCUGCUUCUCCUGUCGAUUGCCUGGUGGAGGUGAAGCGAGGCUCCGAGACGCCCGCGCUUGGUAUUCCGCUCAGCUGAGCAGGCCCAGCGUGCACGCGAGGUGUGCAAACCUCCCGGCCUCGGUGUCUUCCUCCCUCCCGACGGCAGCUACCCACACCUGGUGCGGGCAGCUCGAGGUCUUGCCAGCCCUCACUUCCGGUGCCCUGGCUUCGGCUCGCCCUGGGACCCCAGCAGGGGGGUUUGCACGCAGGAGAUGAGAAUGUGGGUGCUGGCAAGCUGCUGUGCAAGUAGGGGUGCUGGGACAGACAGAGCGUGCUCAGCAGGGGCUGUGCUAGGAGUCACCCCCAACCCCACAGCUGCAGCUGUGGCCAGGAAGGAGUAAGAGAGGUGACCCCGAGCAUGCGCUCCUGGAAUCCCCAGUGCCACUUCUCUAAAAUUACAACACCUGCCUGAACAAGAAUGUAGGCCAUUAACUUGCCUCAAUCUGGAAGCUACUGGGUGUGACUGUUAUAAGAGAAACAACCUGAGAAAGCGGACACUGCAGAGGACUGGACUCCUCAGGGGACCGGAACAGGAUGUCUGUGAUUUACUCUCAGAUGGAUCAGCGGAAAAUCGGACUCUGGCCACCAGAUACCGGAUACUGUUCCUGGCACACCUCGGGUAUCCGGCCCGCCUGCUGAGGCAAAACGGGCCCAUUGAGCCACCCGGAGCCAGCCCUGUACCCUUCACGGCAAGCCACAGGACUCACCGCCGCAAGCUGUGCUGCUGGUGGAGUCCGGAUAUCUUGGACCAACAGGAAUAAAGUGUAACUGGGUUUUUCCUUCUUAAAACAUUAGCUCCUGCUGGCCUGGAGGCAGGGUGCCCUCUGGAAGUCAGAUCCACCUCAGUGCUUGCUACACAACGAUGCUAACCUUGGGGCCAGGAGAAUUUUCCUGUUUACAAAACGCAAAUUACCCUUUGCAUAAUUUUGCAGGGGUGCCCAUAAAGGCGGGUGCUCCUAUUUCUAAAGACUGUGGGAAUCUGGUGUGUGAGAGCUAGAAGGAACCUUAUUUCAGUGGAGACACAGAGUCCUUAAAUUAGAAGCAAAGGCAAUCAAAUCACCUGUCCCAGCUAGCUUGGUUUCUGAGCAACCCCAAGAGGUGAUGUGGGGCCAGCUGUUCCCUUGGGGUUCCUGCAAACUCUGCUACUCCUUGAUUUCACGAUUCUGGGCUGGACCUUAACCAAUGAAACCUGGGGACAAUCAGGUUCCCCUUUUCCUCCGUGGGCCAGAAGAAAGCAUGUGUAUCCCCUGGGGCCGGCCUGUGGGGACUGUUGAACGAAGUGCACGGUCCUGCCGCUUACUGUGUUCUCUAGAAUCUUCACCACGUGGGCACCAGCCACCACAGGAAGUGGUGAGGCUGUUCUCUGUACAUUUAGCCAAAUCACCAUUUCCGGAUGCUCAUGUCCAAGAACCACUUGGGAGAGCUCCCCCCGUAGCCCACUUCCUCUCCAUUUCAAUUUCGUUUGAGGCUCUCUUAGUGCUCAGGAGGUGACAGUCUCCAGAGAGGUCCCGCUGCCUGUGUGGUUUGGUUUCUUUGCUGUAACCCAGGCAUCUAACUUCUCUGCAGGCUGGGGCCCUGGUCUCUCUUGCGCACGCGCAGGGUCAGGGAUGCCCACAGCGCUGACACCCUGAGAUUCUCUGUUCACUUCUGCAGGGAGAAUCUUAGAGAUAGCUCUCCCUGGGAGAGGGACAUGUCUCCUGGUCCUGUAGAUCUCUUCUUGGCCCGAAUCUUGUUUUUGUCUCUGGUGCCAAACAGGAUGAAUGAAAGACUCAAAGAAGCUGGGUGACUGGGAGCUGAACCGGGCCAGCAUCCCAUGCUGAUGACGCUGGUCACCAAGCAGCCCGAGAAGUGCUGGGCCUUCUCCUUGGGGCUGCUCCAUUUCUCUCUCCGAGCCUCUGGUCCCCAUCAAUUCAAUGCAAAACUCAUCUCCUGCUUUGGCCGAGUUUAUAGCAAAUCGUGAUUUGGCUUUGUCUCUAGGUUAGGAUGGUGGGAAGGAAGUCCCCUGAGGCCCUGCAAGGUGUCCCCAGGUGACCAGUGAGAUUAAAGCUCCCUUCCUGGGGCAGGGCUUCUCUAGGGCAGGGGGCUCUCCACCAGAAGCAGAUGGGAAGAUUUCCGCGUCCCCUUCCCCAGGCAUUUUCUCCCUGGGGUGAAGAUGCUGAGCCCUGAGGUGAAAUGACUCUCCCCAAACUCACACCACUGGGUGGCACAGCACAGGUGGAACCCUUGGGCAAGCCUCCGAGGCCUGGGCUGGAUCUGGGCCACAACUGCUUCUCGGUUAAGGGACAGUGCUAGCUGCCAAGGAUUCUGGGUAGGGAUGGCGGGUAUCACUGUGACGGCUGUUCUGGUCCCUCGCAACCUCUCACACCCUUCAGCUCUGCUCUGUCGGCUAGAGGAAGCCGCUCUGGGGCAGCAGGGGUUGCCACUAGAGGAGCUGCCCAGGCCAAGAUAACAGGUUGUCUGUCAAUGUAAAAGGCCUACGCAGGGCCUGGACCACAGAGCUGCCUCCGGAGGAGAAAUUAAACCUGUCUCCCGCACCAAUCCCAGGGCUCUGAUUACAUUUACAGAGGUCGUGGCCUGCGUUGUGUCGCCAUGGAAACCUCUCAUGCUGCCAGGGUGUUGUCUGUACGUGUCAGUGAUAUUUAAAGGCAGA